rnacentral:rRNA from 1 species
AUUGAACGCUGGCGGCAGGCCUAACACAUGCAAGUCGAACGAGUGGCGGACGGGUGAGUAAUGGCUGGGAAACUGCCUGAUGGAGGGGGAUAACUACUGGAAACGGUAGCUAAUACCGCAUACCAUCGGAUGUGCCCAGAUGGGAUUAGCAAGUAUGUGUGGUAACGGCUCACCUAGGCGCCGAUCCCUAGCUGGUCUGUGAGGAUGACCAGCCACAUUGGAACUGAGACACGGUCCAGAUUCCUACGGUCGGCAGCAGUGGGGAAUAUUGCACAAUGGGCGAUAGCCUGAUGCAGCCAUGCCGCGUGUAUGAAGAAGGCCUUCGGGUUGUAAAGUACUUUCAGCGUGGAUGCGUUACCCGCAGAAGACGCACCGGCUAACUCCGUGCCAGCAGCCGCGGUAAUAC